rnacentral:misc_RNA from 1 species
GUCUUGAUCGUGAAGGUUGGUUCUAGGCUGGCCAUGUCUCUACAUUCUUCUAGGAACUUACAACUGAACGGGAAAAUGGCGAUUUCUUCGGCAUAGUGUUGGCGUUUACUCUACGUUAAGGUUUUUUGUGCAGGAGAAAGCUACGAAAAACUCGAUGCCUGCGCUUUUAUUACUAACGGAUUUCUUGUCAUUCAAGAUAAUAGUUCGGUCAUGAUGAGUGUGUUUCUUUCUUUACAAAAAAAACUGUCUAUUCUAUUGCUUAAUUUUGUUUUAUUUAGUGUACUUACUAUUAGUGGCAACUCAUCAUUUAGCUUCAGUCAAAAUCAAUUUGAAGAGUGGUCGAUUCAAUCGAGUGUUCCCACUGCUUGGUUCAACUCGAACAUCAGUGAAAAAUGCAUCCAACACUCACGGGAAUACCUGGCGGCGCUUCAUAACCGACUGCCAUGGGCAGUCAAAAUGUACAAGUCAUCCGCGAGGUUAGUGGAAAACCUAAUUUACAUUGAAGGGGACGAAAACGAGCAUCACGAAUCAGGAUUGUUUGAUGAAUGUCUCACUGUCCAAUCCGAUGGAGUUCCUUUCCAAGGAAAAUAUUGCACCGUCUUCUUUGGAUUACAGGCCGUUGAAGAUAAAAGCAACCAAGAACACAACUUCAAUGCGGAAAAAGAAAAGGAAACAGUUCACAAUAAUCAAAUGCCCAGUGUUAGUUUCUGUCUCCCCUCGACCUGCAGUGCGGAUGAUUUAAAUUCCGCAGUGGCCCAACUUCUUGGAUCUCGGGUCAUCAAAGGCAGAAAUUUCUCCGUGAUCGCCAUAGCCAACGAAAACGACUGUUACACGGAAGAGAAAGUCCAGGCCAACAGCAGAUUUGAUAACAUCACCGUAACCAUUCUGUCGGUAUUUUGUUUGUUGGCUUUAACCAUCACCACUGCAACAUUACAUGAUUCAAUUACGGACAAUGUCGUUUCUCGAAAUUCAUUCGCCGUUCGGUUGCUUCACUGUUUCUCCGCCAAGAAGAAUUGCAAGACUUUGUUGUCGACUGAAGUUGCAAAGGAUAGUUUAUCGUGUGUACAUGGGAUACGAGUUUUGUCAACUUGCUGGAUUGUCCUAUUCCAUAUCGGCGGAUCAUUCGUUAUACUAAGGACGAUAUACAACAAGAAAACGUUUAUCAAGAAUGCGUUACAAUGGGAACUUCAGUUCCUCUCAAAUGGUUUUUUUGCGGUCGACACUUUCUUUUUAAUGAGCGGCCUUUUGGUUGCGUUUACUCAAUUGCGGGAACUGGAUCAAAAUAAAGGAUCUUUCAAUCUCAAGAAAUUUUAUGUUCGUCGGUACAUAAGACUCACUCCUGUAUAUGCGACAAUACUGGCCUUCUUAGCGAAAAUAGGAUCGCAUGUUGCAACCGGUCCCAACUGGAACUUGAUCCAGCGAAUUAGCAAAUGCACCAGAGAAAACUGGUGGAUGCAUUUGUUAUACGUUAACAAUUUCAUGCAUCCAUACAGCAUUAGCAGCCCAGAUUACGCAUUUGGAGAGUCUUGGUAUCUUGCCUGCGACAUGCAAAUGUUCUUGAUCAGUCCUCUCUUCAUUUACCCAAUUUGGCGUUGGAAGGGAGCCGGACUGAUUUGGACCGCAAUCUGCUUGUUCGUUUUUCUGGGAACAUCCGCCUCAGUUUUCAUUGCUUACGACCUAAUACCCACACUUUUAGUAUUUAGACCGUCUUUCAGACAAAAAAUGGACACAUACUAUGACAAACAUUACACUGAUACAACUGCCCGUAUUCCUCCAUAUUUGAUAGGAAUUCUUUUGGGAUGGUUACUCCACACGACCAAGGGACGGAAGAUCUACAUCAAUAAAUAUCUAGUAGCUGCAGGUUGGAUAACAGCUACAUUAUUGGGAUUAAUUGUAACUUACGGAAUGUUUCCUUAUCUGGAUGAGUCCACAGUUCCCGUCAUCAAUCCCUUAAUCGUAGUUUCAUACGGAGUUUUGCAUCACUCCGCUUGGGCAAUUACCAUCGGUUGGAUCAUAUUCGCCUGCACCCACGGAUAUGGAGGCUUUAUCAAUAGAUUUCUGUCAUGGAAACUCUUCCUUCCGUUUAGCCGAAUGAGCUACGCAGUUUAUCUAAUUCACGCCAAUCUCGCCAUCUCAUAUGGAGCUCAAUCGCGUAAACCUUUAUACGUUUCUCAGUUACCUACGUUGACAACUUCUUUCGGACUGUUGGGCUUGGUCUUCCUUUUCGCAUCCGUCGUUACUAUCAUGGUGGAAAUGCCUUUCCUCAACUUGGAAAAACUUUUGUUACCUUAUAAUUCAAAAGCACCAGAAAAAAAGAAAAUGUAGCAGAUUAUUCGACGAGAAAUCUCCCCAAUAUAUUAAGAAAUAAUUAGAAAAUAACUGGUUUUAAAAACCGCGACGAAAGAGACCCUUAUGUAAAGGCCGAAUUUUAUCUGGCAUAGAAACGCGUAUAUAUACUGUGGCAAGCCGGCUAGCAAUCAUUCAUUCCAAACGAAUUCCAAACUGGAUUACCAUACGAAAACACGUUUGCGUGAAUGCGUAAUUAGUCAACGUGAUGGAGGC